rnacentral:siRNA from 1 species
AAUUCAAUCUUGAGAGAGAUCCGC